rnacentral:rRNA from 1 species
GACAGAGGGUGCAAACGUUGUUCGGAUUUACUGGGCGUAAAGCGCGUGUAGGCGGCUUUGCAAGUCGGAUGUGAAAGCCCACGGCUCAACCGUGGAAGUGCAUCCGAAACUGUAUCGCUGGAGUCCCGGAGAGGAAGGUGGAAUGCUUGGUGUAGAGGUGAAAUUCGUAGAUAUCAAGCAGAACGACCUGCGGCGAAGGCGGCCUUCUGGA